rnacentral:rRNA from 1 species
UACGAAGGGGGGCUAGCGUUGCUCGGAAUCACUGGGCGUAAAGGGUGCGUAGGCGGGUUUUUAAGUCAGAGGUGAAAUCCUGGAGCUCAACUCCAGAACUGCCUUUGAUACUGAAAGUCUUGAGUAUGGGAGAGGUGAGUGGAACUGCGAGUGUAGAGGUGAAAUUCGUAGAUAUUCGCAAGAACACCAGUGGCGAAGGCGGCUCACUGGCUCGGUACUGACGCUGAGGUGCGAAAGCGUGGGGAGCAAACAGG